ACUGAGGCUUUUUUAAAAGCCACAUACUAAAAUACUUUUAGU
rfam:Drosophila grimshawi strain TSC#15287-2541.00 scaffold_15245 genomic scaffold, whole genome shotgun sequence.